AGUUAACUUUUUGUUCGAUUCCUGGUGUUUUCAGUCAACAGAAUAUCAACAAUAUAAAAUAGAAACUUUCAAAACACGACAUUUAAAAUUCUAAAAGCAAACCACGAAAUUGUUGAAGUAAAUUUAUAAUUAAAAGUAAAAAAUAUAAAAGCCAUAAACCAACAAGGCACGCAUGAGAGGAAUUCGGAGAAUGGCAUAGCAGACGUUACUGAUGAGUGGCACGUAAAGAUACAGCACUACGGGGAAAUAUCAAAUCAUUAUUCGAACAUCUACGCGAAGCAUAUAAAAGUUGGUUGGUAAGACGAAAUUGUGGAUAUUUAUCAAUAUUUUGUGUGAACUUGUGCCAUUCAGCAAUAACUUUUUGUGGCACCCCAGACACCGCAUCCUUGAGUGGUGCACAAAUAAAGACCCGCUAAGAUGGGGCAGGAAGAAACAAAGAGGAGGAUGUGCCCCCCGAAAAAAGAUCCCACGGACGACCAAAGUUUGGGGAAGGCGGCAUUGUUGGCAACUAUCGGUUUGGCAGUCGGUCUAGUGUUGUGCGCCACUACAGCAGGCGCGGCGGCCCCAGCAGCGGUGGCGGCGGAGUAGGAAGGCAUUGCAAGGAGUACGCACGUAGCAUAAGUAUGACAGGUUUUUCGAUGGUGCGGCGAUGCAAAUCCUCGUCAAUAUUAUUGCGAAUGCGGCCAGAAUGUCUCCAGUGUGUAUUUUGGCAUACGUGCUUGUCCUUAUACACGAAAAAACUCACUCUUAAGGCAAAAUG
rnacentral:lncRNA from 1 species